rnacentral:rRNA from 1 species
UUUGAAAUUAAUUUGUUGCCAAAUUAUUAAUAGUUAUGUUCUUUAAAGUUAAAUAUUUUGGCGGUAUUUUAGUCUUUUCAGAGGAACCUGUUCUGUAAUUGAUAAUCCACGAUUAUAUUUACUUUUAUUAGAAAUUUAUAUAUCGUUGUUAAAAAAUAUUUUAUUAGAAUUAAAUAUUUAUAAUUCUUUUUUAGAAAAAAUUCAAAUCAAGAUAUAGUUUAUAUAAAAGAAGAAAUGGGUUACAUUUAUUUUACUAAUGAAUUAAGUAUUUUAAAUAUUUAUGAAAUUGGAUUUGAAAGUAAUUAAUUUUAUAUUUUUUUAAUGAUUAAGCUCUAAAAUAUGC